GUGCUCACCUCAGCAGUACAUAUACUAAAAUCGGAAGGAUACAGAGAUUAGCAUGGCCCCUGUGCAAAGAUAACAGGCAACAUUGUGAAGUGUUCCAUAUUAAA